AGACUUAAUUGUGAAAAGAGGGGAGAGAAAACAAGGGAAAUAAGGGAUUGAAAGGGAAAAUAAGGACAGGAGAGUGAGGAGGAAAAGACUUAAUGGGAGAAAAGGAGACCAAUUGUGAAAAGAGGGAAGAGAAAAUGAGUUAAAAGACAGAAGUGAAAAGGAAAGAAGAGGAAAAUAAGGGAAAAGAGGAAACAUGAGAGAAAACGAGGAAGAAAUAAGGUAAAUAGAGAAAAAAAUGUUAUAUAAUGCCCAAUGAAAAUAAAGAAAGACAGCAAGGCAGAGAGUCCCAUAGGAUACCCAAGGACCCUUAAACUCCUAUUACAAUGUCCGUGGAGGUGGUCGGCGUGCCCCUGGGUGAGCCUGCUGGGUGGGAUCGGGUGCUGACCUCCCCCCGUGCCGCCCCCGACCCCCCCGGCGAGAGGUUCAUGGUCUUCUGGUGCCUGCUGGUUCUGUCUGCCCAGCUGCACGUCAUCUUGGUGCUGGUCUAUGCCCUUGCCACGGACACGGGCCAGGGGUGAGGGAGUUCUGGCCCGGCAGGAAGAGGCUAUGUACAGAUACUAAUACUAAUUGUUCAUUACCCAACAUAUCAGUGUUUCCUAUCUGUCUGUCUUGUCUGUGUGUCCAUCUCUAUCUGUCUGUCUUGUCUGUGUGUCCAUCUCUAUCUGUCUGUAUUGUCUGUGUGUCCAUCUCUAUUUGCCUGUCUGUCUGUCUGUUUGUCCAUCUCUAUCCAUCUGUAUUGUCUGUGUGUCCAUCUCUAUUUGCCUGUCUGUCUGUCUGUCUGUGUUUCUGAUAAUGGGCAAGGUUAAGUAAUUUGAGUUCUAGUAAUAGAAUAUGAGCAUGGUACUUAAUUUUACUGCUUAUCUGUCCUUUUGGUUUGUCUCCUUGCCUGCAUGGGGACACUACCACCCAUAAAACUGUGCAAUGUCUCCAACCAAAACUGCAGUUUUGUUAGUUAUUUUGGUUCUGGCAGGAGAAUAAGUACUUAAUUUUACCCUUCAUCUUCCUGCCUAUCUGCGUCUUUGUCCGUCUGGCCUUAUGUCUGUCAUGUAUUGCCCUCAAGCACCGAGCAGUGGAAGGCUUCAUGAUGCUGUUUUAUAACUUUUCCUUUGGUUGACUUUCUUUCAUCCACCGCAGCAAUAACUAUGAGAUAUGGAAGAUAAUCUCUGUGUAUCUCACCAAGCCGUGAUCACACUAACACAAAGAACUCUGUAUUGUACAAACUGAAUAAAUGUAUAUGAAAUUUGA